rnacentral:rRNA from 1 species
UACAUAGGUCCCGAGCGUUGUCCGGAUUUAUUGGGCGUAAAGCGAGCGCAGGUGGUUUAUUAAGUCUGGUGUAAAAGGCAGUGGCUCAACCAUUGUAUGCAUUGGAAACUGGUAGACUUGAGUGCAGGAGAGGAGAGUGGAAUUCCAUGUGUAGCGGUGAAAUGCGUAGAUAUAUGGAGGAACACCGGUGGCGAAAGCGGCUCUCUGGCCUGUAACUGACGCUGAGGUUCGAAAGUGUGGGUAGCAAACAGG